GAUGAACGCUGGCGGCGUGCUUAACACAUGCAAGUCGAACGAUGAAGCCCAGCUUGCUGGGUGGAUUAGUGGCGAACGGGUGAGUAACACGUGAGUAACCUGCCCUUAACUCUGGGAUAAGCCUGGGAAACUGGGUCUAAUACCGGAUAGGAGCGUCCACCGCAUGGUGGGUGUUGGAAAGAUUUAUCGGUUUUGGAUGGACUCGCGGCCUAUCAGCUUGUUGGUGAGGUAAUGGCUCACCAAGGCGACGACGGGUAGCCGGCCUGAGAGGGUGACCGGCCACACUGGGACUGAGACACGGCCCAGACUCCUACGGGAGGCAGCAGUGGGGAAUAUUGCACAAUGGGCGCAAGCCUGAUGCAGCGACGCCGCGUGAGGAAUGACGGCCUUCGGGUUGUAAACCUCUUUCAGCACGGAAGAAGCGAGAGUGACGGUACGUGCAGAAGAAGCGCCGGCUAACUACGUG
rnacentral:rRNA from 1 species